UUAACUCAAAUUUGUAUGGAUUUGGAACGUUUGCUACGUUUGCCGCUAGGGGCGCUGCUCUAACUCCAUACAAAUUCGAGUUA
rnacentral:pre_miRNA from 1 species